rnacentral:rRNA from 1 species
CAGCCGCCACGGUAAUACGUAGGUGGCAAGCGUUGUCCGGAAUUAUUGGGCGUAAAGGGCUCGCAGGCGGUUUCUUAAGUCUGAUGUGAAAGCCCCCGGCUCAACCGGGGAGGGUCAUUGGAAACUGGGAAACUUGAGUGCAGAAGAGGAGAGUGGAAUUCCACGUGUAGCGGUGAAAUGCGUAGAGAUGUGGAGGAACACCAGUGACGAAGGCGACUCUCUGGUCUGUAACUGACGCUGAGGAGCGAAAGCGUUGGGAGCGAACAGGAUUAGAUACCCGAGUAGUCCCUGUCUCUUAUAC